rnacentral:rRNA from 1 species
AGAGUUUGAUCCUGGCUCAGGAUGAACGCUAGCUACAGGCUUAACACAUGCAAGUCGAGGGGAAACGACAUCGAAAGCUUGCUUUUGAUGGGCGUCGACCGGCGCACGGGUGAGUAACGCGUAUCCAACCUGCCCAUCACUUGGGGAUAACCUUGCGAAAGUAAGACUAAUACCCAAUGACGUCUCUAGAAGACAUCUGAAAGAGAUUAAAGAUUUAUCGGUGAUGGAUGGGGAUGCGUCUGAUUAGCUUGUUGGGCGGGGGUAACGGCCCGACCAAGGCGACGAUCAGGUAGGGGUUCUGGAGGAGGAACGGUCCCCCACAUUGGAACUGAGACACGGUCCAAACUCCCUACGGGAGGCA